GUUUAAAAAUAAAACCUUACAUUUUCAUUGUAAUAAUAAAAUAAAUAAUUUUUAUAAAUA
rnacentral:tRNA from 1 species